rnacentral:rRNA from 1 species
UACGAAGGGGGCUAGCGUUGCUCGGAAUCACUGGGCGUAAAGCGCACGUAGGCGGCUUUCUAAGUCAGGGGUGAAAUCCUGGAGCUCAACUCCAGAACUGCCUUUGAUAUUGGAGAGCUCGAGUCCGGAAGAGGUGAGUGGAACUCCGAGUGUAGAGGUGAAAUUCGUAGAUAUUCGGAAGAACACCAGUGGCGAAGGCGGCUCACUGGUCCGGUACUGACGCUGAGGUGCGAAAGCGUGGGGAGCAAACAGG